GGCUCAGGACGAACGCUGGCGGCGUGCUUAACACAUGCAAGUCGAGCGGAAAGGCCUCCUUCGGGGGGUACUCGAGCGGCGAACGGGUGAGUAACACGUGAGUAAUCUGCCCUCCACUUCGGGAUAACUGCCUGAAAGGGUGGCUAAUACCGGAUGCGACCGUCCCCUGCAUGGGGUGGUGGUGGAAAGGGUUUCUGGUGGGGGAUGUGCUCGCGGCCUAUCAGCUUGUUGGUGGGGUAAUGGCCUACCAAGGCUUUGACGGGUAGCCGGCCUGAGAGGGUGACCGGCCACACUGGGACUGAGACACGGCCCAGACUCCUACGGGAGGCAGCAGUGGGAAUAUUGGACAAUGGGCGGAAGCCUGAUCCAGCAACGCCGCGUGAGGGAUGACGGCCUUCGGGUUGUAAACCUCUUUCAGCACAGACGAAGCGCCCGUUGUGGGUGGUGACGGUAUGUGCAGAAGAAGCACCGGCCAACUACGUGCCAGCAGCCGCGGUAAUACGUAGGGUGCGAGCGUUGUCCGGAAUUAUUGGGCGUAAAGGGCUCGUAGGCGGUUUGUCGCGUCGGGAGUGAAAUCCACUGGCUUAACUGGUGGCUUGCUUUCGAUACGGGCAGACUGGAGGUAUGCAGGGGAGAACGGAAUUCCUGGUGUAGCGGUGAAAUGCGCAGAUAUCAGGAGGAACACCGGUGGCGAAGGCGGUUCUCUGGGCAUGUCCUGACGCUGAGGAGCGAAAGUGUGGGGAGCGAACAGGAUUAGAUACCCUGGUAGUCCACACCGUAAACGUUGGGCGCUAGGUGUGGGAUCCAUUCCACGGGUUCCGUGCCGCAGCUAACGCAUUAAGCGCCCCGCCUGGGGAAUACGGCCGCAAGGCUA
rnacentral:rRNA from 1 species